UACGAGAGGCCCAAACGUUAUUCGGAUUUACUGGGCUUAAAGAGUCCGUAGGCGGCGCAGAAAGUGGGGUGUGAAAGCCCUCGGCUUAACCGAGGAAUUGCGCUCCAAACUCCUGUGCUUGAGGAAUCUAGAGGUGAGCGGAACUGAUGGUGGAGCGGUGAAAUGCGUUGAUAUCAUCAGGAACACCGGAGGCGAAGGCGGCUCACUGGGGAUUUUCUGACGCUGAGGGACGAAAGCCAGGGGAGCGAACGGG
rnacentral:rRNA from 1 species